rnacentral:rRNA from 1 species
GAUGAACGCUGGCGGCGUGCCUAAUACAUGCAAGUCGAGCGAACAGACGAGGAGCUUGCUCCUCUGACGUUAGCGGCGGACGGGUGAGUAACACGUGGAUAACCUACCUAUAAGACUGGGAUAACUUCGGGAAACCGGAGCUAAUACCGGAUAAUAUAUUGAACCGCAUGGUUCAAUAGUGAAAGACGGUUUUGCUGUCACUUAUAGCUGGAUCCGCGCCGCAUUAGCUAGUUGGUAAGGUAACGGCUUACCAAGGCAACGAUGCGUAGCCGACCUGAGAGGGUGGUCGGCCACCCUGGAGCUGGGACACGGUCCAGACUCCUACGGGAGGCAGCAGUAGGGAAUCUUCCGCAAUGGGCGAAAGCCUGACGGAGCAACGCCGCGUGAGUGAUGAAGGUCUUCGGAUCGUAAAACUCUGUUAUUAGGGAAGAACAAAUGUGUAAGUAACUAUGCACGUCUUGACGGUACCUAAACAGAAAGCCACGGCUAACUACGUG